rnacentral:rRNA from 1 species
AACUUCGGGAAACCGGAGCUAAUACCGGAUAAUAUAUUGAACCGCAUGGUUCAAUAGUGAAAGACGGUUUUGCUGUCACUUAUAGAUGGAUCCGCGCCGCAUUAGCUAGUUGGUAAGGUAACGGCUUACCAAGGCAACGAUGCGUAGCCGACCUGAGAGGGUGAUCGGCCACACUGGAACUGAGACACGGUCCAG